rnacentral:rRNA from 1 species
CCAGCGGCGAUGCUACGCCGCAUGGGGGAUGGUUCGGCUAGAGCGCUGAAGAAGGUCGUGUCAAGCUGCGAUAUGCGUCGGGUAGGUGCAAGAAGCCUAUGAUCCGAUGAUGACCUAAUGGGACUUCCUAUUCUUCGGAAUAAUCAGUAAUGAUUGGGAACGCGGGGGAUUGAAGCAUCUUAGUACCCGCAGGAAAAGAAAUCAACCGAGAUACCGUUAUUAAAGGCGAUCGAACGCGGUAUAGGGCAAACUGAAUCCCUUAUCGAAAGGUAAGGGAGAUGUGGUGUUAUAGACUCUUUUACUCCUAAGCUCGAAUACUCAAACUUGGUUGGAAAACCAGGCCAUAGAGGGUGAUAGCCCCUUAGAGGAAGGCGAGUAUGGAGAUUUUAGAUGUUCUCGAGUAGCGUGCGUUGGAUAUCGCGCGUGAAUUUGGGAGGCAUUCACUUCCAACCCUAAAUACGUCUCUAGUCCGAUAGUGUAGUAGUAGCGUGAGCGAAGACUGAAAAGUACCCUUAACGGGAGGUUAAAAGACCUGAAACCAUGCGGUCAAAGAUUUAUAUAGCAUCAAAGGGAAGAAACCAAUUUUGGUGGACCAGUGUUAUAUUGUUCGUUUCGAAAAACGAUCCAGGGAGUUCUGGUCAUUGGCGAGGUUAACUAUUCAAUUAGGUAGCCGAAGGGAAACCGAUUGUCCGCAGUUUUUUACGAGGGACAAGGUGUGCUCGCCUGGAGUCAAUGGUGCGGAUACCCGAAGCCGGUCGAUCUAUGCCUGAGCAGGUUGAAGCCUCUCGAAGGGGAGGUGGAGGACCGAACCAGUUCUGAUGUGCAAAUCGUUUGGAUGACUUGGGUAUAGGGGUGAAAGGCCAAUCUAGGCCGGAAAUAGCUGGUUCCCCCUGAAACUAGUCGCAGCUAGACCUCGAUCGAGGCAGAACGUGAGGUAGAGCACCGAUUGGGUGCUUAGGGGAAGAAAUUCCUCGGCAUCCUGUCAAACUCCGAACUUGCGUUCACCGUAGACGUCGGGUGUGAGGCCAUCCGGGGUAAGCUUGGUGGCCAUAAGGGAAACAACCCAGACUAUAGUUAAGGUCCCUAAAUUUCGGUCAAGUGUAAUACGAAAUGGCGUCGGCAGUCUAAAACAACCGGGAGGUGGGCUUAGAAGCAGCCAUCCUUUAAAGAUAGCGUAACAGCUCACCGGUCUAGAUUGUGGGCCCAGAAAAUGGACGGGGCUAAACCGAGUACCGAUACUAUAGAAUACAGAAAUGUAAUUUGGUAAGGGGGCGUGGUGCAUGGGCAGAAGCAGGGCUGUGAAGUCCUGUGGACCGUGUUCCAACGAGGAUCCUGGAGUGAGUAGCAGCAAAGCACGGUGAGAAUCCGUGUCGCCGCAGGGGCAAGGGUUCCUUGGCAAUGUUCGUCAGCCAAGGGUUAGUCGAUCCUAAGGUAACUCUUAAUCGAAGUUAUCGAAAGGGAAACAGGUUAAUAUUCCUGUACCGUCAAGAUCUUUGCCUAUGUUGUUGGAUCGGGGUAGUUAUUGUACACCCGUCAGUGUAUCUAAGCGUCGAAACCGAUGAAGAACCGUAAUGGUGAGAAGUUGGUGAAUACGUGAUGGGGCAGGCGUAAGCCUGCUUAUGAUGAUCCCUGGUUCCCGUGAAACCAGCAUAGUUACAAUCUUGAUGUUCGUACCAAGAACCGACACAGGUGUCCCUAGGUGAGUAGCCUAAGGCGUGUUAGCAUAAUCGUGGCGAGGGAACUCAGCAAAUUAGCCCUGUAACUUCGGGAGAAGGGGUGCCAGCAGUGAGAGCUGCUGGUCGCAGUGACAAGAGAACUCCGACUGUUUAGUAAAAACAUAGGUCUCUGCUAGUUCGAAAGGAUGUGUAUAGAGGCCGAAGCCUGCCCAGUGUCGGCAUCUGAAAUUCUGUUUCAACGGAACGAAGGACCGAUAAACGGCGGGGGUAACUAUGACCCUCUUAAGGUAGCGUAAUACCUUGUCGCUUAAUUGGCGACUUGCAUGAAGGCUCAACGAGAGUUCUACUGUCCCCGCCAUGACGCUAGUGAAAACAAUCAGUCUGGUGCACAAUCCAGACCCCUCCAUCUGAAAGCGAAGACCCCAUGGAGUUUCACUGCAACCUGUUGUUGUUGUAAGAAUUGGCAUGUGUAGGGUAGGCGGGAGACGUUACCCAGGAAGGUGCGCUAGCAUCUCUCCGAGUCACCGAUGAAACACCGCCCUUGUCAAUUUUUACGACUCACCUCUCCGGAGGAACAGCUAUAGGCAGGCAGUUCGGGUGGGGCGCCACGCCCUCAAAAAGAUAACAAGGGCGCCCAAAGGUUAGCUCAGGUAGGUCAGAAAUCUACCGAAGAAUGUAAGGGUAUAAGCUAGCUUGACUCGGAACCAGACAAUAGGGUUCGGAGAUAGGAAACUAUGGCCUAGCGAACCAAUCAACCUCCUGAAUGGGGGUGAUUGAUGUCAGAAAAAUUACCCUGGGGAUAAUUGAGUUGUCACGAGCAAGAGUUCAUAUCGACCUCGUGGCUUGCUACUUCGCUGUCGGCUCUCCCUAUCCUGGUGGUGCAGCAGCUGCCAAGGGUGGGGUUGUUCGCCCAUUAAAAGGGAUCGUGAGCUGGGUUUAAAACGUCGCGAGACAGUUUUGUUGCUUUUUGAUGGAGGUGUUGGUACCUGAUGAGAAGGACCCUUUAGUACGAGAGGAACAGGGGUUCGUCGCCUCUAGUUUAUCAGUUGUCUGACAAGGCAUGCUGAGUAGCCACGCGGCAGUGGAUAAGAGCUGAAGGCAUCUAAGCUCGAAGCCAUCUUAAAAAAGAGGUACCCAUAGAACGCCCGUAAAUGACGGGUUUGAUAGAAGCCGGAUGUAAGUACCGAGGUUCGCCGAGGUAUUCAGUCCUGGCUUACUAAAGUUCUUUUGACGUCGCUGG